rnacentral:rRNA from 1 species
AUACAGAGGAUGCGAGCGUUAAUCGGAAUUACUGGGCGUAAAGCGCGCGUAGGCGGUCUAUUAAGUCAGAUGUGAAAUCCCAGGGCUCAACCUUGGAACUGCAUCUGAUACUGGUAGACUAGAGUUUUGGAGAGGGAAGUAGAAUUUCAGGUGUAGCGGUGAAAUGCAUAGAGAUCUGAAGGAAUACCAGUGGCGAAGGCGACUUCCUGGCCAAAAACUGACGCUGAGGUGCGAAAGCGUGGGUAGCAAACGGGAUUAGAUACCCUAGUAGUCC